rnacentral:rRNA from 1 species
GCGAGUGAAGCGGGAACAGCUCAAAUUUGAAAGCUGGCCUUCUGGUCCGCAUUGUAAUUUGUAGAGGAUGCUUUUGGCGCGGUGCCUUCUGAGUUCCUUGGAACAGGACGCCUUAGAGGGUGAGAGCCCCGUACAGUUGGACACCUAGCCUUUGUAAAGCUCCUUCGACGAGUCGAGUAGUUUGGGAAUGCUGCUCUAAAUGGGAGGUAAAUUUCUUCUAAAGCUAAAUACCGGCCAGAGACCGAUAGCGCACAAGUAGAGUGAUCGAAAGAUGAAAAGCACUUUGAAAAGAGGGUUAAAUAGCACGUGAAAUUGUUGAAAGGGAAGCGCUUAUGACCAGACUUUUUCCUGGCGAAUCAUCCGGCGUUCUCGCCGGUGCACUUCGUCAGGUUUAGGCCAACAUCGAUUUCCGCCGGGGGAUAAAGGCUUCGGGAAUGUGACUCUCUACGGGGAGUGUUAUAGCCCGUUGCGUAAUACCCUGGUGGGGAUCGAGGUUCGCGCUUCGGCAAGGAUGUUGGCAUAAUGGUCAUCAGUGACCCGUCUUGAAACACGGACCAAGGAGUCGAACAUUUGUGCGAGUGUUUGGGUGUUAAACCCUCACGCGUAAUGAAAGUGAACGGAGGUGAGAGCCUUAGGGUGCAUCAUCGACCGAUCCUGAUGUCUUCGGAUGGAUUUGAGUAAGAGCAUAAAUGUUCGGACCCGAAAGAUGGUGAACUAUGCGUGGAUAGGGUGAAGCCAGAGGAAACUCUGGUGGAGGCUCGCAGCGGUUCUGACGUGCAAAUCGAUCGU